rnacentral:tRNA from 1 species
AGUUAAAAAGCCACAGAUAAGCCCAAUGUCUUGAAAACAUUGUGAAAGAAGUUCAAAUCUUCUAUUAACUU